UUGGUUCGGAUAUUUGGUAAUGGGGUUGGCUGAACAGCCAAUGCCCCGAAGCUAUCAUCCGUAGGAUUAUGACUGAACGCCUCUAAGUCAGAAUCCAUGCUGGCAGCGACGAUAUUCACCUUGACCGGUGUUUUUGUACCGAUAGCCUUAUGGUCAACACGCUACUUCACCACACUACCAAAUGUUGGUCGAGUUAAAUCCUCUGUAGACGACUUGAAUGGAACGGGGUACUGUAAGC
rnacentral:rRNA from 1 species